rnacentral:tRNA from 3 species
GCGGGAUUGGCAGAUAUGGAUAUGCACUCGCCUUUUAAGCGAGACGAAGUGGGUUCGAUUCCCACAUCCCGCACCA